UUAUGAAAGGAGGUCGUCGCUGCGCAAGCAGAGGAAAGUCCGGACAGCAUAGAGCAUCGUACCACUUAACGAGUGGGAGACUGAUAUAAUGGUAAAUUGGUCUUGAGAAAGUGUCACAGAAAAUUACCGCCUUGAGUCAUCAAGGUAAGGGUGAAAACGGGUGGUAAGAGCACCCGCAAGCAUGAGUAAUCAUGUUUUGGGAUAAACCUUACGAGUUGAAAUGCCAUGUAAAUCUUGUUCCUGUUAUGGGAAAUUUCUGCUCGAAGUGCUUCUAAAGAAGGCAAGAAGGGUAGGCAGUUUGAGCUUUUUGGUGACAAAAAGUCUAGUUAAAUGACGGUCGAGCUAAUUCGUUAGUUUACAGAAUCCGGCUUAUGAAUUUCAAGGAGGG
rnacentral:RNase_P_RNA from 1 species